AGCAAUUGCUGUAAUAAGGAGGGCUUACCAGGCUGACCUGAAUGUUUAGCCAAGUUGUUUGAACCUUGAGGAUCAUCCUAUCAUCAUACCCUUCUGAUGUCAGCACACAAAUAGAGAUGCUUAACCAUCACUGCAGCACCGACAACAUAUGAGCCGGAUACAUGAAUUUUACCUGGUUUUAAGAACAACUGCACGGCAUCAGCCUGAUGAAAUGAAACAACCUUUCCAGCUCUUCCCAGUCUUAUAAAAAAAUCCCAAAAAAGAAAAAAACACACCAGUAAAGGACAUAAGCCUGACUAGACCUGCCAGAUGACAUCCCAGACCUGGGAAGUGAGCCAGGGUCCAAAGCAACAGCUGUCGUGGCCAACCUGCCAGCCCAAAGCAUCCAUCCAUGACUGACCGGUUGCUUCGCAUCCUGAGAACAUCAACAAAAGCUGUAUUUCCCCUACCUUUGUUAUCCUAUCUCGUUGUCCCCUGGUGACGGCAUGUUUUGUCAAAGACGAGGAAAUGGUCUAGUCGUGCCUCGAAAUGAAACAAAAGAACUAUCCCUUUCUUCCCCACCAAGAAGAGCUUGAGAAAAUAAAGAGAUACUAACCAAGAGCUUUUCUCUGAAAAGGAGGCUUUGAAAGUUUUGACGUAUGCUUUGCAUAACCACUCAAAUUUGGUUACUUUGUCUUUCUUCCCCUCCUCCUCCCCCUCCCUUUUUUUUGUGUAAUAGAUUAUUUUUUCAUGUGUAUCCUUAUUAAAA